rnacentral:sRNA from 1 species
AAAAAUAAAUUAAAGCAAUCUGUCGUAAGAUGAAUAAAA